rfam:Salmo salar isolate Sally breed double haploid chromosome ssa15, whole genome shotgun sequence.
UGGUCUUUUAUUUGUAAGUCGCUCUGGAUAAGAGCGUCUGCUAAAUGACGAAAA